rnacentral:rRNA from 1 species
UUAGUGGCGGACGGGUGAGUAACACGUGGGCAACCUGCCUAUAAGACUGGGAUAACUUCGGGAAACCGGAGCUAAUACCGGAUACGUUCUUUUCUCGCAUGAGAGAAGAUGGAAAGACGGCUGCUGUCACUUAUAGAUGGGCCCGCGGCGCAUUAGCUAGUUGGUGAGGUAAUGGCUCACCAAGGCGACGAUGCGUAGCCGACCUGAGAGGGUGAUCGGCCACACU